GGAUCCAGACUUUGAUCAUGGCUCAGGAUGAACGCUAGCUACAGGCUUAACACAUGCAAGUCGAGGGGAAACGACAUCGAAAGCUUGCUUUUGAUGGGCGUCGACCGGCGCACGGGUGAGUAACGCGUAUCCAACCUGCCCACCACUUGGGGAUAACCUUGCGAAAGUAAGACUAAUACCCAAUGACGUCUCUAGAAGACAUCUGAAGGAGAUUAAAGAUUUAUCGGUGAUGGAUGGGGAUGCGUCUGAUUAGCUUGUUGGCGGGGUAACGGCCCACCAAGGCGACGAUCAGUAGGGGUUCUGAGAGGAAGGUCCCCCACAUUGGAACUGAGACACGGUCCAAACUCCUACGGGAGGCAGCAGUGAGGAAUAUUGGUCAAUGGGCGAGAGCCUGAACCAGCCAAGUAGCGUGCAGGAUGACGGCCCUAUGGGUUGUAAACUGCUUUUAUAAGGGAAUAAAGUGAGUCUCGUGAGACUUUUUGCAUGUACCUUAUGAAUAAGGACCGGCUAAUUCCGUGCCAGCAGCCGCGGUAAUACGGAAGGUCCGGGCGUUAUCCGGAUUUAUUGGGUUUAAAGGGAGCGUAGGCCGGAGAUUAAGCGUGUUGUGAAAUGUAGAUGCUCAACAUCUGAACUGCAGCGCGAACUGGUUUCCUUGAGUACGCACAAAGUGGGCGGAAUUCGUGGUGUAGCGGUGAAAUGCUUAGAUAUCACGAAGAACUCCGAUUGCGAAGGCAGCUCACUGGAGCGCAACUGACGCUGAAGCUCGAAAGUGCGGGUAUCGAACAGGAUUAGAUACCCUGGUAGUCCGCACGGUAAACGAUGGAUGCCCGCUGUUGGUCUGAAUAGGUCAGCGGCCAAGCGAAAGCAUUAAGCAUCCCACCUGGGGAGUACGCCGGCAACGGUGCAACUCAAAUGAAUUGACGG
rnacentral:rRNA from 1 species